UACAGAGGGUGCGAGCGUUGUCCGGAAUCACUGGGCGUAAAGGGCGCGUAGGCGGCUCAGUAAGGUUGCGGUGAAAGCCCGGGCUCGAACCCCGGGUCGGCCCGUGGCAACUGCUGGGCUGGAGCACUGUAGAGGCAGGUGGAAUUCCGGGUGUAGCGGUGGAAUGCGUAGAGAUCCGGAGGAACACCAAUGGCGAAGGCAGUGUCCUGGGAAGUACCUGACGCUCAGGUGCGAAAGCUAGGGAGCGACGGGG
rnacentral:rRNA from 1 species